GAUGAACGCUGGCGGCGUGCCUAAUACAUGCAAGUCGAGCGAAUGGAUUAAGAGCUUGCUCUUAUGAAGUUAGCGGCGGACGGGUGAGUAACACGUGGGUAACCUGCCCAUAAGACUGGGAUAACUCCGGGAAACCGGGGCUAAUACCGGAUAACAUUUUGAACCGCAUGGUUCGAAAUUGAAAGGCGGCUUCGGCUGUCACUUCUGGAUGGACCCGCGUCGCAUUAGCUAGUUGGUGAGGUAACGGCUCACCAAGGCAACGAGGCGUAGCCGACCUGAGAGGGUGAUCGGGCACACUGGGACGGGGACACGGCCAAGACGCCUACGGGAGGCAGCAGUAGGGAAUCGUACGAGAUGGACGAAAGUCGGACGGAACAACGCCGCGGGAGUGAUGAAGGCUUUCGGGUCGUAAAACUCUGUUGUUAGGGAAGAACAAGUGCUAGUUGAAUAAGCUGGCACCUUGACGGUACCUAACCAGAAAGCCACGGCUAACUACGUGCCAGCCGCCGCGGUAA
rnacentral:rRNA from 1 species